CAACAGUCUCUCCUACUGCUGAACCUGCAGAUGUAACCACUGUCUCUCCUAGUCCUGCACCAGCAGACAUUACCACUACAACAGCCACUGCUGAACCUGCAGAUGCAACAGCUUCAACAGUCUCUCCUACUGCUGAACCUGCAGAUGUAACCACUGCCCCUGCAGAAGACACAACCCCUGGAGCAGAAG